UCUUCUGCAAUAAAUAAAAUUUUAAAAUAUUAGAAUUCUGUAUUAUUAUCAUAGUUGUACCUAAUCUUCUUACGCCAAAGUCUCUCAAUAAGAUCUUAAAACAAAGUCAAAUUCAUACAAUGUGUUUUUCCUCUUUAUCCAAUUAACCAUUGCUGUAAUUGCAAUAUUGUUUUGCUAAUGUUUGUUAUAUUGGUCGAGAUCAAGCAAACUCGUUUGAAUUAGUGUUUGCUGAGUAGGGAAUUCUUACCUUACAAGACCACUCCUUGAAGGUGCCCCAAGUACCAGAAGCUCGAUGGCGUAUUUAGAAAUACCUUCUAUUAAUCCCUUGGUUAUAUCUACGUCAUCCAAAGACCCGAAACGAAGCGAAAAGUUCUUUAGAUUCGUUGUCCAUCUGUUGCAUGUAUGCUCUAGCCACAUCAUCGUUGCCAUCAAGAGAUAUUGUCACAAAAUUGGCCUUCUAUAUUUCAGACAAAUACAUAUAGGCAUAGAGCAAUCAAUUAUAUGAAAUUUAGGUUCGAUGAUUACUUGGUGUAGGAAUGGAAGAUGCUCUCUGUCUAACAUGGAGCAGUAAGAGCGCUUGUUCUUUGGGAA